rnacentral:rRNA from 1 species
GCUGGCGGUGCGCCUUAUGCAUGCAAGUCGAGCGAAGCUUUUCAGUAGUUUACUACAGAAAAUGACUGAGCGGCGAACGGGUGAGUAACGCGUGAGCAAUCUACCUUAGUUACAGGGAUAGCCCGAGGAAACUCGGAUUAAUACCUGAUAUUCUUUACAUUUCGCAUGAAAUUAAAAGGAAAGGUCAGCCGAACUAAGAUGAGCUCGCGUUCUAUCAGCUAGUUGGUGAGGUAAAAGCUCACCAAGGCUACGACGGAUAGCUGGUCUGAGAGGACGAUCAGCCACACUGGGACUGAGACACGGCCCAGACUCCUACGGGAGGCUGCAGCAGGGAAUAUUGUGCAAUGAACGAAAGUUUGACACAGCGACACCGCGUGUGGGAUGACGGAUCUAGGUUUGUAAACCACUUUCAGGAGGGAAGAAAAUGACGGUACCUCCACAAGA